GUGAAUUUUUAGGGUUUUUGCUUGGGAACCUUCCUGAUGAGCAUUUCUCCCAUAUGAAUAUGGGGUCAGUGACAAAGGGUCUGGUGAUGCUGCUGCAGGAUCCAGAUCCUCUCGUGCGAGUGAAAGCCGCUGAAGCCAUGGGUCAUUUUCACUGAUGUUACCUCCACUCUGCAGCCAAUCAGAUUAGUCUUUGAUUUCAAGUUUGUUGCUUUGGAUAAGGAGGAAGCUUUGAAUUGUUGUUCUGUAAUAAGCCUCGAAAGGUUUUUAUUAUUGACCAAAGACUGUGCACUAGUUCUGUAAGAAAAGAGAAGAAUAAAAAGGAGAAGACAUUUA